rnacentral:rRNA from 1 species
UACAGAGGUCCCAAGCGUUGUUCGGAUUCAUUGGGCGUAAAGGGUGCGUAGGCGGCGCGGUAAGUCGGGUGUGAAAUCUUGGAGCUUAACUCCGAAACUGCAUUCGAUACUGCCGUGCUUGAGGACUGGAGAGGAGACUGGAAUUUACGGUGUAGCGGUGAAAUGCGUAGAUAUCGUAAGGAAGACCAGUGGCGAAGGCGGGUCUCUGGACAGUUCCUGACGCUGAGGCACGAAGGCCAGGGGAGCAAGCGGG